rnacentral:rRNA from 1 species
UACGAGGGGGGGCAAGCGUUGUUCGGAAUUAUUGGGCGUAAAGGGUGCGUAGGCGGUUUGGUAAGUCUUAUGUGAAAUCUACAGGCUCAACUUGUAGUCUGCAUGAGAAACUGCCGGGCUUGAGUAUGGGAGAGGUGAGUGGAAUUCCUGGUGUAGCGGUGAAAUGCGUAGAUAUCAGGAGGAACACCUGUGGCGAAAGCGGCUCACUGGACCAUAACUGACGCUGAUGCACGAAAAGCUAGGGGAGCAAACAGG